rnacentral:rRNA from 1 species
AUUUAACGGCCGCGGUAUUUUGACCGUGCAAAGGUAGCGCAAUCACUUGUCUUUUAAAUGAAGACCUGUAUGAAUGGCAUAACGAGGGCUUAGCUGUCUCCCCCUUUCAAUCAAUGAAAUUGAUCUCCCCGUGCAGAAGCGGGGAUUUAAUUAUAAGACGAGAAGACCCUGUGGAGCUUUAAACACAGAAGGGGACACAACCACAUUAGCCUUAUAACUGAGCUAAACCCUUUGUGCCCCUCUUUGCUGUUUUUGGUUGGGGCGACCACGGGGGAAAACUUAGCCCCCACGAGGAAUGAAAGCAAUACCUUUUAAAAAGAAGAACCUCAGUUCUACAACACAGAACAUCUGACCACCAGAUCCGGCAAUGCCGAUCAACGAACCGAGUUACCCCAGGGAUAACAGCGCAAUCCUCUCCCAGAGCCCAUAUCGACGAGAGGGUUUACGACCUCGAUGUUGGAUCAGGACAUCCUAAUGGUGCAGCCGCUAUUAAGGGUUCGUUUGUUCAACGAUUAAAGUCCUACGUGAUCUGAGUUCA